rnacentral:rRNA from 1 species
ACCAGUACCGUGAGGGAAAGGCGAAAAGAACCCCGGCGAGGGGAGUGAAAAAGAACCUGAAACCGUGUACGUACAAGCAGUGGGAGCCCCACCACCAAAGCAUUCUCUGGUGUUGAAGGCCCUGCAAAGCAGCAUCGCGGUGGCGGAGCGUCGUUUGCGACGCCCAACACACAAAACAAGCGGUGAGUGCUUUGGGGUGGGGUGACUGCGUACCUUUUGUAUAAUGGGUCAGCGACUUAUAUUCUGUAGCAAGGUUAACCGAAUAGGGGAGCCGGAGGGAAACCGAGUCU